rnacentral:rRNA from 1 species
CAGUCGCCGCGGGAAUACGAAGGGGGCUAGCGUUGCUCGGAAUCACUGGGCGUAAAGGGUGCGUAGGCGGGUCUUUAAGUCAGGGGUGAAAUCCUGGAGCUCAACUCCAGAACUGCCUUUGAUACUGAAGAUCUUGAGUUCGGGAGAGGUGAGUGGAACUGCGAGUGUAGAGGUGAAAUUCGUAGAUAUUCGCAAGAACACCAGUGGCGAAGGCGGCUCACUGGCCCGAUACUGACGCUGAGGCACGGAAGCGUGGGGAGCAAACAGGAUUAGAUACCCGCGUAGUCCCUGUCUCUUAUAC